rnacentral:rRNA from 1 species
GAUGAACGCUGGCGGCGUGCCUAAUACAUGCAAGUCGAGCGAACAGACGAGGAGCUUGCUCCUCUGACGUUAGCGGCGGACGGGUGAGUAACACGUGGAUAACCUACCUAUAAGACUGGGAUAACUUCGGGAAACCGGAGCUAAUACCGGAUAAUAUAUUGAACCGCAUGGUUCAAUAGUGAAAGACGGUUUUGCUGUCACUUAUAGAUGGAUCCGCGCCGCAUUAGCUAGUUGGUAAGGUAACGGCUUACCAAGGCAACGAUGCGUAGCCGACCUGAGAGGGUGAUCGGCCGCACUGGAACUGAGACACGGUCCAGACUCCUACGGGAGGCAGCAGUAGGGAGUCUUCCGCAAUGGGCGAAAGCCUGACGGAGCAACGCCGCGUGAGUGAUGAAGGUCUUCGGAUCGUAAAACUCUGUUAUUAGGGAAGAACAAAUGUGUAAGUAACUAUGCACGUCUUGACGGUACCUAAUCAGAAAGCCACGGCUAACUACGUG